rnacentral:rRNA from 1 species
GAUGAACGCUGGCGGCGUGCCUAAUACAUGCAAGUCGAGCGAACGGACGAGAAGCUUGCUUCUCUGAUGUUAGCGGCGGACGGGUGAGUAACACGUGGAUAACCUACCUAUAAGACUAGGAUAACUUCGGGAAACCGGAGCUAAUACCGGAUAAUAUUUUGAACCGCAUGGUUCAAAAGUGAAAGGCGGUCUUGCUGUCACUUAUAGAUGGAUCCGCGCUGCAUUAGCUAGUUGGUAAGGUAACGGCUUACCAAGGCAACGAUGCAUAGCCGACCUGAGAGGGUGAUCGGCCACACUGGAACUGAGACACGGUCCAGACUCCUACGGGAGGCAGCAGUAGGGAAUCUUCCGCAAUGGGCGAAAGCCUGACGGAGCAACGCCGCGUGAGUGAUGAAGGUCUUCGGAUCGUAAAACUCUGUUAUUAGGGAAGAACAUAUGUGUAAGUAACUGUGCACAUCUUGACGGUACCUAAUCAGAAAGCCACGGCUAACUACGUG